AUAAGGAAAUCUAAGUGCUUUAAGUUUAUACGGUAAACUCUUAGGAUAAGACAGAUAUAUGCUGAGAUGUUUGUGAAUCCCAGAUAGCACUGUAUGAUAAACUGUAAAGUAUUAAUGAAUUCGCACAUGAAUAGCUGAAACUGCAAUUGGAAAAUCUGAUGAUGACAAGGAAAUACUACGUUUCCGGUUUUGUUUUAGCUCUAUCUGCUAAUUUCUUUGCCUAUUUUCCGUUUUGCCAAGUACCAACAAGCUUAUGUUGUAUUUCUUUUUAAGACCUUCAACAUUAUAAGCUCUCAGUACCCUAUUUUUUGUUGUUGUUCAAGAUAGUUUUUGCUCGUCUGCCAGGCUGGAGUGCAGUGGCGUGAUCUUGGCUCACUGCAACAUCCGCCUCCUGGGCUCAGGUGAGAUCCUCUUGCCUCAGCCUCCUGAGUAGCUGGGAUUACAGGCGCGUGCUACCACACCUGCUUAAUUUUUGUUUUUUUAGUAGAGAUGGGGGUUUCACCACAUUGGUCAGGCUGGUCUCGAACUCCUGACCUCAAGUGAUUUGCCCACUUUGUCCUCCUACGGAUGUGAGCCUCUGCGCUCAGCCAUAGAUUUUACUAUCUUAACCCAUUUUAAUUCCUCUGUUGAGUCUCUGUCCUCCCUUCCAAUUUGAUUUGGGAUUUUGCUGAUGAGAUUAUACUAAACAUUGAGAGUACUGCUUUUUACUCUGACUUUUAUUGUGUUGUCUUUCAAAGACAAAUAGUACAAUUUUGUACAAGGAAACACGUAAGAGAUGGAUGUCUUUCUGGUAUCCCCACGAAAACAAUAUUAGUAUACUCUAUUAUUGUUACUUAUUAAUAGUAUUUACAAUUUAUUAAUUAUUAGCUAUGUUAAUUUUUAUUCUAUGCUUCAUUUGCUCUGACAUUGACAUAGUGGAUUUCUGCUGAUUUUUUUCGAAUCCACGAUCUUUAUAACCAACUGAAAAAUAUAAUAGAGUGUUAUAUUUCGUCUUUAUUUGUGUUCUUUUGGAUCAAGUAUUUAACAUUUGCUCUGAAAAAAAUGUUUUUGUGACGUGUCUUUGUUGCCUUGAGAUAGAGCUGUUUAUCCUGCCUCCUAGGGAGAAGUUUCUGCCUGGAUUGAAACAAAAAAACACAGGAGUCACAAGCAUGUUACCUAUUAAAAGAGAGAGGGUAUCUCUGAAGACUAAUUAAAAUGGUAAUUUUUUAAAAGAUGGGACCAGUUGACUUUUAGUAUAUCACCCCAAGUAUUAUCCCCAAAAUGAUAAUACAAAACAAUAAUUUGGAGACCAGGAGAAAAACUGGUAGUAGGAUUAUGGGGGAGGGGAAGAAGCACAGGUGGUCAAGAUAAUAAUGCGUGUUUGGCCUCAGCUGUAGGUAGAGGUGCCAGAGAAACUACCUGCCUCACAGAUGAGCACACACAGGUGCAUUGUAAAAGUCUGGGAAGGAUGUAUUGUACUCUGAAGGAAGACUUUCCAUUUCUAAGCUACCAUGGAGAAGUAUAAGCUCCUUGAGACCAGAGACUGUGACUUCUGCAUCUUUGAUUCCAGCGACAUAUAAUAAAAUGUUUUGCACAUAGUUGAAUCCAGCGUUGAUAAAUAAAGGACAGCCUUACAUCUUUUUUCUGUUAUACUUAGCAAUUUCCUCUUUCUUCUGCACCACCAACCUGUAUUUCAAGCCUCCCUGCCCCACAGAGCUUCCAAAGCCAAUAAAUUUGUUAAUCUAGAGCAGGGGUCAGCAAACUGCCACCCCUGGGCCAAAUCUGGCCUGCUGCCUGUUUUUGUAUGGCCUACAAACUAUGGUUUUUAUAUUUGUUAAUGGCUCAAAAUAAUAUUUUGUAUAAUAUGAAAAUUACACGAAAUUUUAGUUUCUCUGAAUAAAGUUUUGGAAAGAAC